UCAUAGCCCUGAUUGCAGCGGCAUCCUUUUUUGCAUUGCUCGAAAUUUUCUUUUUAUAAAUAUGUUUUCGAGCAAAAAAGAUAUAGCGGAAAGCAGGUUCCCGG
rnacentral:sRNA from 1 species